rnacentral:rRNA from 1 species
CCUACGGGGGGCAGCAGUGAGGAAUAUUGGUCAAUGGACGAGAGUCUGAACCAGCCAAGUAGCGUGAAGGAUGACUGCCCUAUGGGUUGUAAACUUCUUUUAUAUGGGAAUAAAAUGUUCCACGUGUGGGAUUUUGUAUGUACCAUAUGAAUAAGGAUCGGCUAAUUCCGUGCCAGCAGCCGCGGUAAUACGGAGGAUCCGAGCGUUAUCCGGAUUUAUUGGGUUUAAAGGGAGCGUAGGUGGAUUGUUAAGUCAGUUGUGAAAGUUUGCGGCUCAACCGUAAAAUUGCAGUUGAAACUGGCAGUCUUGAGUACAGUAGAGGUGGGCGGAAUUCGUGGUGUAGCGGUGAAAUGCUUAGAUAUCACGAAGAACUCCGAUUGCGAAGGCAGUUCACUGGACUGCAACUGACACUGAGGCUCGAAAGUGUGGGUAUCAAACAGGAUUAGAUACCCCAGUAGUC